rnacentral:piRNA from 1 species
UGCCCUUGAUGUCAACUAUAAAUCUGACU